rnacentral:lncRNA from 1 species
UUGGAUUUGAUUGAAUGGUUAGAUUGAAAAGCAUAAACGUUUUUGUGGAUCAUGGUCUCAAAAUUUAGAGUUUUGAAACUAGCGAGGUUUUCUUAGAUAUUUGUUAAUCCGCUUAUUAGAUUGAGGCAAAUAUUUUUCAUAGAGGUAGUCAAAUUGAUUUCUAAUAAGUAUGUAAAGUUUGGAAGCAAAGUAAUGGUUCAAUUAAGAGUAAUUGACUCUAAGAGAUUAGCAUCAAAGUCAAAGAAGGAGGCUAGCUGACACCCAAUCACAUUUUUGAGGUUAUUGUCUAUUUGGUAGUUUCGAUCUUUUUCAUUUUUUUUUGUACUUGUUGUCAAGUUAAUUGUUAAGAGGUGUAAAAAUUUUGAAUUAAAAUCAAUGGUUCAUUCAUUAGUUAUUGAGGUUUAAAUCUGCUAUAAGAAUUACUUGAGAUUGAUUAAGAUUCGGUUUAAGGGUUUGGUUUAGGAUUUAGAAUUAGGAUUUUGGAUUGAUUUAAGGUUUGGUUAGGGUUAAGAUUUGUUUAGGAUUUGACUAGGAUUUGUCUAGGAUUUGGUUAAGACCUAUUUAGGAUUUGAUUAGGUUUUAGGUUUUGAUUAGAACUAAGAUUUGAUUAGGGUUAAGAUUUGGUUAGGAUUAAGUUUUGGUUUGGUUUAGGAUUUGAUAUGGAUUUCUAUAGGGUUUUUUUAGGAUUUCUUUAUGAUUUUCUUGUGUUUCUUUUAUAAUUUAUUUCAAAAAUAAAA